UACGGAGGGGGCUAGCGUUGUUCGGAAUUACUGGGCGUAAAGCGCACGUAGGCGGAUUGUUAAGUCGGGGGUGAAAUCCCGGGGCUCAACCCCGGAAUGGCCUCCGAUACUGGCAAUCUUGAGGUCGGGAGAGGUGAGUGGAAUGGCGAGUGUAGAGGGGAAAUUCGUAGAUAUUCGCCGGAACACCAGUGGCGAAGGCGGCUCACUGGCCCGAUACUGACGCGGAGGUGCGACUGCGUGGGGAGCAAGCAGG
rnacentral:rRNA from 1 species